rnacentral:rRNA from 1 species
UACUAGAGUAGCACUCGCAUAUCAAUAAGCGGAGGAAAAGAAACUAACAAGGAUUCCCCUAGUAACGGCGAGUGAAGCGGGAAGAGCUCAAAUUUGAAAUCUUAAAGGGUUUCCCUUUACGAAUUGUAGUUUAAAGAAGUGUUUUCUGUUGAGGUUUUGGUAAAAGUUCUUUGGAAUAGGACAUCAUAGAGGGUGAGAAUCCCGUAUUUGACCUUUACUUUCAACUUUGUGAUACACUUUCAAAGAGUCGGAUUGUUUGGGAAUGCAGUCCAAAAUGGGUGGUAAAUUUCAUCUAAAGCUAAAUAUUGGCGAGAGACCGAUAGCGAACAAGUACCGUGAGGGAAAGAUGAAAAGAACUUUGAAAAGAGAGUUAAACAGUACGUGAAAUUGUCAAAAGGGAAGCGUUUGACACCAGUGUUGUUUUUCUGAAAAUCAAUUAAAGAACUGUUUAUGCUAAGCUGUUAAGACUUUAUCAGCUAUCUGUUUAGUUUUGAGCUUUUCUUUAAUGCACUUUUCAGUUAACAAGUCAACAUCAAUUUCUUUUGCUGUAAAAAAGCUUGAGGAAGGUGGCUUGAGAUCCGUCUUAAGUGUUUAUAGCCUCUUGCCUAUGCAGUCGGAGAGAUUGAGGUCUGCAGCGUAGAUCCUUCGGGGCUAAAUGCAUUUGUGCUAAGUUAUAGCAUUUUAUAGACAACUUGUUGACUAUGAUUUGUCUUGUAGCUUACUCGCUUAUGUUAUUUUACCUACGCUUAGGAUGUUGAUCUACAGAGCGAGAGU